rnacentral:rRNA from 1 species
GCUCCAAUAGCGUAUAUUAAAGUUGCUGCAGUUAAAAAGCUCGUAGUUGGAUUUCUGACAUUAAUGCGCUUGGCCGGCCACGGUUACGUGUGUCAGUGCCGAGUCGUGUUUGUCAUCCUUCUAGCGCAUGGCGUGUUGCUCUUCAUUGAGUAAUGCGUCAUUCUCGUGCUAGAUCUUUUACUUUGAAAAAAUUAGAGUGU